rnacentral:rRNA from 1 species
UUGCUCCCUGAUGUUAGCGGCGGACGGGUGAGUAACACGUGGGUAACCUGCCUGUAAGACUGGGAUAACUCCGGGAAACCGGGGCUAAUACCGGAUGGUUGUUUGAACCGCAUGGUUCAAACAUAAAAGGUGGCUUCGGCUACCACUUACAGAUGGACCCGCGGCGCAUUAGCUAGUUGGUGAGGUAACGGCUCACCAAGGCAACGAUGCGUAGCCGACCUGAGAGGGUGAUCGGCCACACUGGGACUGAGACACGGCCCAGACUCCUACGGGAGGCAGCAGUAGGGAAUCUUCCGCAAUGGACGAAAGUCUGACGGAGCAACGCCGCGUGAGUGAUGAAGGUUUUCGGAUCGUAAAGCUCUGUUGUUAGGGAAGAACAAGUACCGUUCGAAUAGGGCGGUACCUUGACGGUACCUAACCAGAAAGCCACGGCUAACUACGUGCCAGCAGCCGCGGUAAUACGUAGGUGGCAAGCGUUGUCCGGAAUUAUUGGGCGUAAAGGGCUCGCAGGCGGUUUCUUAAGUCUGAUGUGAAAGCCCCCGGCUCAACCGGGGAGGGUCAUUGGAAACUGGGGAACUUGAGUGCAGAAGAGGAGAGUGGAAUUCCACGUGUAGCGGUGAAAUGCGUAGAGAUGUGGAGGAACACCAGUGGCGAAGGCGACUCUCUGGUCUGUAACUGACGCUGAGGAGCGAAAGCGUGGGGAGCGAACAGGAUUAGAUACCCUGGUAGUCCACGCCGUAAACGAUGAGUGCUAAGUGUUAGGGGGUUUCCGCCCCUUAGUGCUGCAGCUAACGCAUUAAGCACUCCGCCUGGGGAGUACGGUCGCAAGACUGAAACUCAAAGGAAUUGACGGGGGCCCGCACAAGCGGUGGAGCAUGUGGUUUAAUUUGAAGCAACGCGAAGAACCUUACCAGGUCUUGACAUCCUCUGACAAUCCUAGAGAUAGGACGUCCCCUUCGGGGGCAGAGUGACAGGUGGUGCAUGGUUGUCGUCAGCUCGUGUCGUGAGAUGUUGGGUUAAGUCCCGCAACGAGCGCAACCCUUGAUCUUAGUUGCCAGCAUUCAGUUGGGCACUCUAAGGUGACUGCCGGUGACAAACCGGAGGAAGGUGGGGAUGACGUCAAAUCAUCAUGCCCCUUAUGACCUGGGCUACACACGUGCUACAAUGGACAGAACAAAGGGCAGCGAAACCGCGAGGUUAAGCCAAUCCCACAAAUCUGUUCUCAGUUCGGAUCGCAGUCUGCAACUCGACUGCGUGAAGCUGGAAUCGCUAGUAAUCGCGGAUCAGCAUGCCGCGGUGAAUACGUUCCCGGGCCUUGUACACACCGCCCGUCACACCACGAGAGUUUGUAACACCCGAAGUCGGUGAGGUAACCUUUUAGGAGCC